AUGGACGCAGCCUACACAGGAUGCAACCUUGCAUUUGAGGAACACCCAUAGAACGGAGAAAGUCAUUGGUUCUUCUGCUGAGGUUGUCAUAAAGCAUGCUUUUUCCAUUUGUUGCAUUGGGCAAUAUUAUCAAAAGAUUCUGAAAGAAAUAAGAUAAUUUUCAAAGCAUUAACAUGAAUAUGAAAGCAUUAGGUCAUUAAUGACCAUCUUUUAUUAUUGUUUAUUUACAGUGUCUUUAAUUCUGCUUACCUGACUCAUGCAGAAUUCUGGCUUGAUGUUCGGUCCACCUGUUAGCUGGCUCUGGUGCUUGGUAGUCUUCUCACUCAAACCUCUGAAUCAAGACCACCAUGAGAGGCCUUCUGAAGACCAUCAUUACGCUUCAGAUCCAGUUGUCUUUACUAUGAGCCUACCACAAUCCCUGUGCACCAGCUAUGGAAAGUGCAGACCAAACUUCUACCUCCACCUAUGGGACUGAACUGGAGUCUGUGAACUAAUGCUGUGUUCGAGACAACUUGGAUGUUGGAUAUUAUUGACCUCAAACCCGUAAGAAGUCUGGAACAGCAAACAAAAUCCUUUCUCUUUUUAAUGCAGAACUUAAGGAUGAACCACCCUGAUCUACUUAGAUGCACAGAUUCAACUCUGGCCCAGCAUCAUCCCCACACCUCAUCUGCCAUCAGUUUAAUUUAAUGUCUGUCAAUUGCAAAGGCUAUUUAUUUCAGUUAUAUUACAACUUAAUGUUAACUUUAAUUGAGACUAGUAUUGUGUAAAGCUGGGGUUUCCAAACUUUUAAUUUCAAAACCUAUUAGACAAGUGUAAUCUAUUUUAGACCCACUAAAAUAUUUUUUUAAUGGGGUAAAACACAUUUGUUCUCUUUCAGUGGAGUUAUUUUAUUUUCAUAAUAUUUCAUAAUGUAAAGCAGUGGUUCUUAACGUUAUUCCUCGAGGCCCAUUGCUCUGCACAUUUUGUAUGUCUUUUUUAUCUGACAGACUCGGUUCAGUUCAUUGAGAUCUCUUCUAAUGAGCUGAUGAUUUGAAUCAGGUGUGUUAAAUAAGGGAGACAUACAAAAUGUGCUGGGCAGUGGGCCUCGAGGAAUAACGUUAAGAACCACUGAUGUAAAGUAAAUAUAAGUUUAUUUGCAAUACCAAAUAUUUUAUGGUAUAUUCUUUCAAAACCAUUGUCAUUGUUAAUUAUUAAUUUGGCCAGACUGUUGUUGCAUCAUUAAGGUGUGCAACACACCUUAACCUACUGUGUGACCUGUGUCACAUGCUACUUUCAGCACUUAUUACAUCACAGUGUUUUUAAUGCUUAAUUUUUAGGUUUAUUAUAAAUUCAUUCAUUUUUAAAGAAUUCCUUCUUUAUGUAGAACAUGCAAAGUCUAAAAUGUAAAGUGUCAUGAUCUGCUCUGGGUCUUGUGCAGUGAUUAAAAGAGCAGGUAGUAAAUGUCAUGGCUUUGCAGUAUAUUGGGUAGGCUCUGGAUGUAAUGAACAUUCAGCACAUAGGUUUCAUAAAUUUAAUUUGGAAACAAACUUGUCAGAACAAUCCAUGCUGUGAUGCUGGAUAAUACCUAGUCAAAUGAAUACAUGUAUAAUGUGUUUCGACAUUGUAUAAGGUUCUUCAUCUAUACAAACAUCUGUUAGUGAACGGUGCAGAGACUGCUGUCCAUUAUUGGUUACAGUAUAUUUGUUAAAAUGUUGCCAGUAAGAUUAUUUCCUUGUACAAGGUACUUUCUUUAUAUGUGUUUUAUUCUACACUUAAAGCAUAAACGCAAUUUAAAUGCAAGAGUCCCCUCGUCCCUACUUCCAAAUAUGCAAGUGAAACUGGACUAAACGCAUACAGUAUACAUACGGGUAUGAUUUCAUGUUUCUAUAUUACACGUGAUACAGGUAGGGUAUAUAAAAAUAAUGUUUUAUGAAUGCUAAAUAAAUG